rnacentral:rRNA from 1 species
AUUGAACGCUGGCGGCAGGCCUAACACAUGCAAGUCGAGCGGAUGAAGGGAGCUUGCUCCUGGAUUCAGCGGCGGACGGGUGAGUAAUGCCUAUGAAUCUGCCUGGUAGUGGGGGAUAACGUCCGGAAACGGGCGCUAAUACCGCAUACGUCCUGCGGGAGCAAGUGGGGGAGCUUCGGACAUCACGCUAUCAGAUGAGCCUAGGUCGGAUUAGCUAGUUGGUGGGGUAAGGGCCUACCAAGCCGACGAUCCGUAACUGGUCUGAGAGGAUGAUCAGUCACACUGGAACUUGGACACGGUCCAGGCUCCUACGGGAGGCAGCAGUGGGGAAUAUUGGACAAUGGGCGAAAGCCUGAUCCAGCCAUGCCGCGUGUGUGAAGAAGGUCUUCGGAUUGUAAAGCACUUUAAGUUGGGAGGAAGGGCAGUAAGUUAAUACGUUGCUGUUUUGACGUUACCAACAGAAUAAGCACCGGCUAACUUCGUG